AGUUCGGAUUGCAGGCUGCAACCCGCCUGCAUGAAGCUGGAAUCGCUAGUAAUCGCGGAUCAGAAUGCCGCGGUGAAUACGUCCCCGGGUCUUGUACACACCGCCCGUCACACCAUGGGAGUCGGUAACGCCCGAAGUCAGUGACCCAACCGUAAGGAGGGAGCUGCCGAAGGCGGGACUGGUAACUGGGGUGAAGUCGUAACAAGGUACC
rnacentral:rRNA from 1 species